GAACCUGCCUCAAAGAGGGGGACAACAGUUGGAAACGACUGCUAAUACCGCAUAAGCCCACAGCUCGGCAUCGAGCAGAGGGAAAAGGAGCAAUCCGCUUUGAGAUGGCCUCGCGUCCGAUUAGCUAGUUGGUGAGGUAACGGCCCACCAAGGCGACGAUCGGUAGCCGGACUGAGAGGUUGAACGGCCACAUUGGGACUGAGACACGGCCCAGACUCCUACGGGAGGCAGCAGUGGGGAAUAUUGCACAAUGGGGGAAACCCUGAUGCAGCGACGCCGCGUGGAGGAAGAAGGUUUUCGGAUUGUAAACUCCUGUCGUUAGGGACGAUAAUGACGGUACCUAACAAGAAAGCACCGGCUAACUACGUGCCAGCAGCCGCGGUAAAACGUAGGGUGCAAGCGUUGUCCGGAAUUACUGGGUGUAAAGGGAGCGCAGGCGGGAAGACAAGUUGGAAGUGAAAACCAUGGGCUCAACCCAUGAAUUGCUUUCAAAACUGUUUUUCUUGAGUAGUGCAGAGGUAGAUGGAAUUCCCGGUGUAGCGGUGGAAUGCGUAGAUAUCGGGAGGAACACCAGUGGCGAAGGCGGUCUACUGGGCACCAACUGACGCUGAGGCUCGAAAGCAUGGGUAGCAAACAGGAUUAGAUACCCUGGUAGUCCAUGCCGUAAACGAUGAUUACUAGGUGUUGGGGGAUUGA
rnacentral:rRNA from 1 species